rnacentral:piRNA from 1 species
AGGGGCUGGAGAGAUGGCUCAGUGUUU